UUGCUAUGACACUCCAAAUUGAGCUUAGAGGUGCAUCCAAGUCCACUUGUGGCCAAUUCAAUUAUUUGGACAUGAUUUAUAAAAACACACCUGUAUAUAUGAGGUCCCACAGUUGACAGUGCAUGUCAAAACAGCAACUAUAACAUGAAGUUCAAGGAACUGUCUGUAGAUCUGAGAUAUUAUUUUGAUGGGAAGGGUAUGAAACCAUUUAUAGAGAGUUGCAAGUUUCCAAGAGCACAUUAUUGGAAAAUGGAACUACCCCAGACUGUUUAGAGCUGGCCAUCUGACCAAUUAAGCAAGCGGGCAAGAAAGACCUUGGUCAGGGAGGUGAACAAGAACCCAACUCUGACGGUUCUUUGGAUGAGAAGGGAGAACCUGCCAGAAACACUCUCUACAGCACUUCACCAAUCUGUGCUUUAUGGGAGUGGCUAGACCAAAGCCACUCCUGAGAAAAAGGCACAUGACAGCACGCCCAGAGUUUGCAAAAAGGCACAUGAAAGACUCAGAGCAUAAGGCAAAAGAUUGUGGUCUGAUGAGACAAAACUUAAACUCUUUGGCCUGAACGCAAAGCGAUAUGUCUGGAGAAAACCAGGCACAGCUCAUCACCCGUCUAACACCGUCCCUACCAGUAUGCUAUGGGGAUGCUUUUCAGCAACAGGGACUGGAAGACUGGUAAGGAUAGAGGGAACAAUGAAUGGAGCCAAAUACAUGAAAAUCCUUGAUGAGAACCAGCUUCAAAGUGCAAACGACAGACGGGGCGAAGAUUUACAUUCCAACAGGACAAUGACAUCAUGCAUACAGCCAAAGCAACACUGGAAUGGCUACAGAACAAGAAUGUUUAAGUCCUUGAGUGGCCCAGCCAAAGCCCAGACAUGAAUUGCAUUGAAAACCUGUGGACUUGAACUUGAAGAUUGCUGUUCACCACCGCUCCCCAGCUUGAGAAAAUUUACAAGGAAGAAUGGGAGAAAAAUCCCCAAAUCCAGAUGGGAAAAGCUGAUACAGACCUGCCCAAGACGACUCAAAGUUGUAAUUGCCACCAAAGGUGCUUCUACAAACUAUUGACUCAAGAGUGUGAAUACUCAGAAAGAGGUUUAUAGCUUCAGACAACUCCUCCGGUCUCCUGACACAGUGGAGGAGCUGCAUCACAUUCUGGAACCAGAGCAUCUAAAGGCUCCAAGCAGCUCACCUGGGAUGCAGGCCUCAGGCAGGAGAGACACAUUUGUCGGUUGUGGAGCACUUGGUCUGCUGCCAUGAACUGCCGUAUGAGGGUGUGUCGGCUGGGUGAGGAGCUCCUGCCCUCUAUGCUCUAUGUAUGGAGACAGAUGAGGCCCAGCAGCACUCUCAAAGAGGAGAUAGUAGAGUUAUUCAACCUGCAGCUCUGUGUACAUCAUCUCAAGGGUCAAAUACACAAGACACAGGAGCCUAUGCUGAGGACUGGGCCAAAUGGCAGAGUCUACUCUAUAACCUCUAUGAUGCCCUGGUGACUGAGAUCAGCCAGUUUGGGAGCCAGGAGAAAUAUGCCACAGGGUUGCGCCACAUUGCUGUGAAGGAGAACCUUAUUGAGCUAACUGGAGACAUCAGAUGAUAAAUCUAAGAUCCUUAAUUUUCACAUCUUGACUUCAUUUACCAUUUCCAGGCUAAAACCUGAGCUGUGCUGACAUAGUUCACCUGUCUUUAAGAUGGUUUUGGUAUUGUUGGUCUCAUCUUCAUGUUUUGGGUGUUUGACUGUUUCUUAGCUCUAUAGCGAAGAUUGUAACCUUCAGAUUCUGGAUGUGACUCAGGCCCACCUCAGAGCCACCCAGAGUCCCCAGGGCACGCCCAGCAAGUGCAGACACAUCGAGCUGGCCUGGGAGGUUUUCCGAGACCACCUGCAGCCACACCAUCAUACCAUGUGCUGCUGAUCUGUGUUUGGCCCAGAUCCUUCUCAAGGUCCUGUUCCUAAGCUUGGGCACUGGGUGGGACCAUGCAGGGCCGUGGAGGGGGUCGGGCCCCCCAGCAUCAAGGAGAACAUCAUGAGCUGGCUGCUGAUGAACGAACAGAGUGAAGAGGCAGAGGAGAGAUCAAGAUCACACCCCAUCAUCUGCAGGAUUUUCCUCACAACCUAAUUCGCAGAAUCCUUGUGCCUUUGACCCUCAAAGACACCCGAGCUGGCAUUAUGUUUCUCCUCGGAGCAAAGGAACUUGAGAGGCUGUUCUUGGAGAUGACACCGGACAGCUUGGAGAAGAGAAAGAUGCUUCCUCUGAAAUGCCAGCAGACAGCCUUUGAGAACGUCUACCUGAAAGCCUAAGAAGGGAUGAGGCUCCAGAAGAGCAGCUCUCCUGAAUACCUGAAUGACGAGACAUUUAACCGCAAGGCCACGCUGCUGAAGAAUGUGUCGGUGGUGCUGUGCUGCAGCCCCGUCUGUGAGAAACAGUCCCUCUUCGCCCUCUUCCAGUCCUACAAGGAGAACAACAUAGAGGAGCCACUCAUCAAAUAGCUAAGGGCAAAUCAUUUGGCUACACGUAUUUACAGUCUCAUAAAUUAUGUAUUGUAUUAAUGUUUCUUAAACUGAAAGCACUUCAUAGUGUAGGUGGAUAACUCAGCCUUUCCACCGUCACUACAUACAGUAUCGCUGUCUGACUACUAUCAGUAUGCUAUGAUAUUGACAGACUGAAUGUUAACCUGGUUUGUCCCUCACCCCAUGUAGAUCCUGGGCAGUGAGUCCAGAGUUCUGGGCUACAGAAGUGUGGAGGGGUUUGUUAGCUCUCACCUGGAUUACCUGGUGGCAGAGGGGCUGGGCUAGCCUGGCUAUACCCUGGAGUCCUUCUCCUACACUCUGCUCAAUCACCCCACUCUCUUCUACAGCAAAUCUACUGCCUGAUUCACAGUAACCUGGCGGACAUUGUGGUGGAGCUGUUGAUGACCCUGUAUGAUGGGGCUGCUACUGAGAAGGGCAGAGGGGACCUGAGGAGGGAACUGGACCCAGCCCCAAUCCCACCCUCUUUCAGCUCCAAUGUUAUCAACGCCACACUGGACUACUUCAGCAAAUGUCACAGUGCCAGUCACCAGUCGUCCCUGGUGGCCAUUUUAUCCAGGACACUGAUCUCCAUCCAGAGGAUCCUGCUGGCGGUGUGUCAGAAGGCAGCUGAGACGAUCAAUGCCUACGAGGGCAGUGAUUGGAGACAUUAGCCUGUGUAGUGUGCUGGUUUUCCUGACUCUCUGUGGUCACUAAAAGAUCCCAUGGAAUGUAAGAGUAUGGGUGUUAACCCUGGUGACCUGGCUAAAUUCCCAAUCUGGUUCUCAUACCCUCAUGGCCACCUAAUCAUCCCCUGCUUCCAAUUGGCUCAUUCAUCCCCACUCCUUUCCUAUUUAACUAUUCCCCAGGUCGUUGCUGUAAAUGAUGUGUUCUCAGUCAACUUAUCUGGUAAAAUAAGAGUUAAAUCAAAUAAAACACAACCACUUUCCAAAUGACUUUUGGGCUUUUACUGGUGUAUGAAGUUACCGUCCCUUGUGUUCCUCUGUAUAAGCCCUCCCCUUUGACCUGCCCAUCAUGCCGAUAAAGAACCUAUAUGAUGUCGUCAUUCCUAUGAUGGAGAUCAAGGUAGAGAAUGGGUUUGAUCAUCUGUGGUUCCCUCACUAAUCAAUCACUUGACAUAAUUGGAUUUUUGUUAUGCAAUAGGAUGUU